GGGAAGAUGGCAUGACUUCUGCCAGAAGGUGCAGUUUUUUGGUGUAUGGAAAAAGGCGCUGAAACCCCCAAUCGGAAUGGACAAAGCUGAACAGGCUCUUGAGAUCCACGUGUGCUGCCAUUACUGUUCCCCUCCACGUCUGCUCCUCCAAAGAGGGUACGAGAUGCGAAUGAGGCUCUGGUACAUGUCCUCGAGGAAACAGAAGACCCCAAUUCCUACUUAAAGAAACGCCCUCUCUCCUGCCCAGUCCUGAUAGUCAGCUCGUCCAACUGCCUCCUAGUGGUAGGAGAUGUGCCAAUAACCACCUUUCCAAAAGACGAGCUUACAGAGAGUGCUUUAUACCUUAUGGCCUACGAUUACACCCUACACCUGACUUAUCCAAAGUGUGUAGCCACUCUGCUUUCAGUCAUACAGACGGAGGUCCUCUUAGACAAAAUCCAUGAGAGAGAUCUCACGUCUUCUUACAAGAAGAGCAUGGCUGAGUGGAAAGGUUUUAUUGGCCAAUAAAACCAUUGCAAAGCACAGAUUUGGUUCAUGUAUUGAGGGGUACUUUGGUCAGAUGUUUUGAUCUAUCCUCAAC